rnacentral:tRNA from 3 species
GCCCCCUUAGCUCAGCCCGGCCAGAGCACCCCACUUGUAAUGGGAAGGUCGUCGGUUCGAAUCCGACAGGGGGCCCCA